AUCCAGCCAAAAGUGAUUCAAGAAAGAAAGAAAGAAAGAAAAAA
rnacentral:ribozyme from 1 species